GCUGGGCGUGGUGGUGGGCGCCUGUAAUCCCAGCUACUUGGGAGGCUGAGGCAGGAGACUCGCUUGAACCCAGAAGGUGGAGGUUGCAGUGAGCCGAGAUCGUGCCACUGUAUUCCAGCCUGGGCGACAGAGCGAGACUCUGUCUCAU
rnacentral:SRP_RNA from 1 species